rnacentral:rRNA from 1 species
AGUGAACGCUGGCGGUAGGCCUAACACAUGCAAGUCGAACGGCAGCACAGUAAGAGCUUGCUCUUACGGGUGGCGAGUGGCGGACGGGUGAGGAAUACAUCGGAAUCUACUUUUUCGUGGGGGAUAACGUAGGGAAACUUACGCUAAUACCGCAUACGACCUACGGGUGAAAGCAGGGGAUCUUCGGACCUUGCGCGAUUGAAUGAGCCGAUGUCGGAUUAGCUAGUUGGCGGGGUAAAGGCCCACCAAGGCGACGAUCCGUAGCUGGUCUGAGAGAAUGAUCAGCCACACUGGAACUGAGACACGGUCCAGACUCCUAGGGGACGCAGCAGUGGGGAAUAUUGGACAAUGGGCGCAAGCCUGAUCAAGCCAUACCGCGUGGGUGAAGAAGGCCUUCGGGUUGUCAAGCCCUUUUGUUGGGAAAGAAAAGCAGCAGGUUAAUACCCCGCUGUUCUGACGGUACCCAAAGAAUAAGCACCGGCUAACUUCGUG